rnacentral:rRNA from 1 species
AUACGGAGGAUGCAAGCGUUAUCCGGAUUUAUUGGGUUUAAAGGGUGCGUAGGCGGUUUGCUAAGCGGGAGGUGAAAUGCCGGCGCUCAACGUCGGAAGUGCCUCCCGAACUGGUGGACUUGAAUGACUCUGCCGUGGGAGGAAUGUGUAGUGUAGCGGUGAAAUGCUUAGAGAUUACACAGAACACCGAUUGCGAAGGCAUCUCACGAAGGGUUGAUUGACGCUGAGGCUCGAAAGCGUGGGGAUCAAACAGGAUUAGAUACCCUGGUAGUCCACGCAGUAAACGAUGAUGGCUAACCGCUGGAUCCAUCGGUUCAGUGGCCAAGCGAAAGCGAUAAGCCAUCCACCUGGGGAGUACGACCGCAAGGUUGAAACUCAAAGGAAUUGACGGGG